CAAAGUUCCAGGUGGGAGGUGUAGGCAGAGCUUUUCUAGAGCAGAUAAGGCUGUAUCUCUGCAGCACCUCGUCCAGUCACACACACACACACACACACACACACACACACACACACUCAAACAUCAAAGCCUUCACCUGUCGCCAGGAAUUUAUGCAAAGAUAUUCCCAGGGCAUAAAAUGUCCCUGGAACUCCUUUUUGGGAAAUCCGACUGAGCAUGUGACACACUCUGACUUUUCUCUGUGGGGGUCACUCUUUGCCUUUCAAGGGUAGAUUUGAUUUCUGGAAACAGCCCAGAGUCAUUUAGAGCCAAGUGUGCAGACUGAAAUUAGAGAUUAGAGUGUGGCCACUGAUGAGGGUUGAUACAGAUAGAAUAAAACUCGCUGUGUCUUGUGUGAAUGGGGACAAUACUUCUCUUACAGGAUUUCAUCCGGUACAGUAUGUAAAGGGCCUGGCGCGGUUUUUGAUCCCCAGCAGGCAUUUCACAACUGGUAAUAAUGAAUAUUCCUAAAACAGAGAUCCUGAAAUGAAUGGAAGAAUCAUUGAAAUAAGCUCUUCGUUCCCCAAGGGAGAUCAGAAGCUCCGUAUCAAGAGAAGAGCAGCUGGAGGAGAUGAUGGGGAGAAGGCAAUGCCAACGCCUCGGCGGCCUCAUGACCAGCAGAGUCUGCUGUGGCCCCUGGCGGCCCAGCACUAGACAGUGUGGGUCCCCGGGGACGGGACGGAGGCCCAGUGUGUCCUCCCCUCCCCCACACCACCAGCAGGCUUCUCUGCAGGGUUGCUGAUACCAGGGAGAAACUUUAGGCACGGCGAUCUCGGGGGCUCAGCGGCGAAAGGCGGAGAGGGGAGAGAAGAAAAGGGAGCAGGAGACGCAACGGUGAUCAUCCCGGCAGCACCACAGGCCUGCGUUGCUGGGCCUCUAUCGUGCCGGCCAACAGGAUUUUUUAAUACAGUACUACAAAUUACUUUAUUUUAUUUCUCCAUCUCUUUUGAGGUAUAAUUGACCAAUAAA